AUGUGUUUUGAGUGGUGGACACACAUGCGCAGGAACUGAAAAUUAUGUAGGUUUAGCCGUUACAGGUAAAAUAAAAAAAAAAAAAAAAAAUGAUGAUGAUGGUGGUGAUGAUGGUGAUGAUGAUGAUGAUGUUGUGAGUCGUAAGAGUAGUGUCGCAUAUUGUGAGAAUAAUGUCGUGAGUAGCAAAAAGAAUGUAUCAUUUGACGAGACUAUACAAGAAUAUCUAAAGUUUCAAGAAUUAAAAAAGAGUUACUCAUUUUUACCAAAGGGUAAUAAAAACAUAAAAGCUGGAGAUGUGAUAAUAACAACUAAAAUAUUUGGGUUUGGUUUUAUUAUGGCAGCACAUAUAUGUAAAGAGGCCAAGGGUAGGUGGGUAUAUAAAUCUCUGGAUGAAAUGUUAUUAUCAAAUAAAAAAAGUGGAUUAUAUUUUUUAGCUAACAAUGCAAAGGCCUGUACAGAUGUAACAGGAUUUGGUAUUUUAGGCCAUUUAAACGAAAUGAUUAAGUGUUCUAGGAAGGAGUUUUAUUUAGCGGCCACCUCACCCGCUACAGACACACUCGAUACAGAUUCUGCUGACACCGAAACUAUUGCUACUGACAUUGCUUCUACAGACGUUGCUUCUACAGACGUUGCUUCUACAGACAUUGCUUCUACAGACAUUACUUCUACAGACAAUACUUCUACAGACAUUGCUUCUACAGACAUUACUUCUACAGACAAUACUUCUACUAAUAUUGGGGCUACUAACACUGGAGCUACCAACACUGGAGCUACUAAUGCUGAUACUGAUAAUGGUGGUACUACCAAAUGUAGUCCCUUAUCAACGCAGCAAGAAAAACACAUAAAUGAACGUGUCGAACAAACACAUGAAUCUAAUAGAUAUUUAAAACUUAUAGGUGCAAAAAUAAAACUGAAGGAUAUACAAAUAAUAGAUGGAGUUAAAGAAUGUAUGGAAAAAAAUAUCUAUUCAUCAAUGUAUAAAAAAAACCAUUAUUUAUGUAAUAAUAUAAUUAAUUUAAAUGAAGCAAUGACACAUGAUAAAUAUGGUAUUUUAUUUGACCCUCAAACAAGUGGUGGUUUGAUGGCAAUAGUCGAAAAAGAAAAAGCUAAUAAAAUGGUAAACGAUUUAAUAAACAUGGGAUAUAAACAUUCUGCAAUUAUUGGAGAAAUAAUCAAUGUACAAUAUAACAAAUUUAAAAAUUUAACCAUUGGUAAAGUGUCAUUAGAUGAUUAUUUAGACAUGACUGAUUCAAUAUAUGUCGAAUGUUGACACCUGUGUCUUGAUGAUAUGUGUAAUGUUUCCAUAGAC
rnacentral:lncRNA from 1 species